GCCUCAUGCCUAAUAGUACCUAGACUAGAUGUGCCGUAAUUGUGGCGUGCACUCUUGCUUCAGGGGGGCUGCCGGCUCGAUCCACUUCAAUCAUUACUUGUGCGUGCUUUGGAUAGAAGAAACAAAGAAGAGAUCGGAGAAAACCAUCUUUUGAAGCCGCCGAAUUUCCUACUUCUAUCUUUUUCAUCAAUUCUCACUUUUCAGAAAUGGAUCAUAAAAAUCAUUUUGAAAGUCAAAACACCACGACUAUGAUUGAGUGUGGAGGAGAAGCUGUUGACUCCCAAAAGCAAUGGAAGCAAAUGAAGGACGAUGAAAGAAAGGGAGCAGUUCAGGAAGAGAUGAAGAGGAUGCAUCAAUUGCCUACUAAUAGUAGCUAUGCCACGCAUCGUCUUCGUGUUCUUAAUAAAAUAUUACAACUCAUGUCACUCCAGAGAUCUGCAUCUGAAGAAGAGGAGUUGGAGCUACUUUUCGCUGGACUGUCGAUUUAAGGAAAAAACAAUAGCUGCGUGGUGUCGACUUCUGAUUUGUACUUGUAGCAAAAGCAAUAGAACACAUUGAGUACAUGGAGUGCAAUAUUGGAGCAUUCAUUAAGUACUGGACGAGCUCUGAAAAUGAAGUACUUGUGCAUUGAUUUGGCAUAAUGGGAAUAGAAGAACAGGAGGGUGUUUCUGAAGUAUAUUAGCGUAUCUCUCCUUGGCCACUGGCCAGCAUGACUAUGUAUAACAAAAAGAAUUUGAUGUAAAUUGCAAGAAACUUAUGUAUGAUAACGUAGUUCUAACUUCUAACACAAUAACGUACGUUAGAUUUUAUAAAUUUUAAUGUAUAAGAACUAUACGUUCGUCUUCUAAUAGUUUACUCAUCUAUUUUAAUCAAAUUGCUAUAUUUUAUUUUUCCGUUUAGAGUUUUUUUCUCUCAAAUAUGGCAGUCCUACUGGAUGGAAGAGUAUAUUUAUUUGAACUAAAGACAAAGGCAACAUGAAGAGCUUCAGUUCUUCUCCCAACGGCUUGUCAAUUGUCAAUUUUCGAGAUGAGGUUAUCCAACCGGGACAAGGUGUAGAGUAAUGGGAUAGUGUCUAACAAUCUGUGAGGUACGUAACUCUAUAGCUCGAAAUAAUGACUCUGUAUAUGAUUCAACAACGGUAGAGGUUUUUAACGAAGCUACGUUUCCAGAGGAUGGAAGAAAAUAGAAGGGAGAAGAGAUAAGAUCCGUGAAUUUGGCAGUAAAUAUGUGUCUUAUUUAGUUUUAGUGUCUGCUGAUGCACUAAUUUAAUUUUUAAUAUCUUUAGAUUUAUCCAACUAACAAUUGAGACUCAUGUGCAGAAGCGAAGGGAGUAUAUUUCAGAAAAUUGUGCAUGUUACACCUUUAGCUUGUAAAAAAACUAUUAUUCAUGACCUAUUUACUGAAGUUCCAAGACUUUAAGGGUCGAGGAGAGGACACUAUGCUGAAAGGAAUGCAACGCUCAGGACUUGUUAAGAUAUGUUUUGCAGCUAACGAGCAUUGAACUCAGAUCUCGCCUAAAGAAUAAUGUACUUGUCGGUAGGAGUGUUUAAAACCGGGUACUGGGCCGAUCCGGAUCCGGAAAUCAGGGUACCUGCAAAUUUGAUCUGAUUCCGACCCGGUUUUGUUUAUUUCCUAAAAAUUGUGUUUUUUUCCUUAUUUCUUUUAACAUUUUUUUAUAUAAAAUUCAAAUUCUAAGUUGUUUACAUGAUAGAUUUACCUAAUUUAGAAUUUUAGUGGAUAUAAGUUGUUUAAAUGAUAGAUUUACCUAAUUUAGAAUUUUAUUUUUUUUAAAAAUUGGAGCUAAAUUAGGCAAAAUAUUU